ACUGCAAGUCGCCGGGAUGGACGUAAAGCCUCAGCUCAGGUGGGACCGGAGGCUGUCAAGAGCAAGCAGAGCCCUCCAUCCUGGCGGUGGAGAUGGAGGGGAAUCUACAGCACAGCAUGAGGCCUGAGCAGCUCAAAGUCGGCCAGCCUGGGACCCUGGUGGGAGGGGAGAACGAAGGGAGCACGAAGCUGAGCGAGGCUGCAGGCGGGCCCGAGGGAGGGGCGUGUGCGCGCUCUGGGGCCGGCCACGUGCAGGAGGCAGAGCGGCUCAGGACGAGUUGUAAGUGGCUCAGUCCAGACUGGCGGUGUGUGUCUGUCCCUCCCAGGGUCAGUGUGAAAACCCUGCAGCAGCAGUGUGCGGGGCGCGGGGGCGGGAACCACUGCCGGUUCCUCCCGCGGCGGCAACUGGACCUGCGUGUCCGGCCUGGGAAGGGUCCAGGGAGCCCGUCGGUCCUGUGCUCAAGCCCCGCCCCGUAACGUGCGACCUGCCGGGCUUGGAGGGGGCGAGGACGGGAACGGCGGGCGUGGGGAACCGUGAAAUCGCCCUGGAGGUGACUCCGAGAGCCCAGAGGGCCCAGGCUCGGGGAACGAGCUCAGGCUGAGAAGGACAGGCCGCCGCCGAACGAAUCCACUCACCCACCCCCAGCGGGACGCUCACAGCACUGUAAAGUCAAAACACUGUAAGUGGAAGCAUGGAAAUUAUGGAACCGUCUGUAACUAAGAGAAAGUAAGUGAAACAACAGAUGCAGGAAGGGCAGGGGGUUUGCGGAGCCCCAGGAGAGGAGCAAGAGAUACUGGCGCAUAGGUAGGUUAGAUCCUGAAAGCACUUGUCUGCCACGUGAACAAUACCCCGAGGAAGCAGAUGGAAGUUAAGAAGGUGAGAGGCCUGGUAAGAUUCACCUUUUAUACACAGCUCUGUUGGCAGCUCAGAGGAGAGCAUGUGGUUUCUUUUAGGAUCCAUCAGGGAAGGUGUAAAUAGGGAACCAGAACUUGGGGUACAGACUGUACCUGACACCACUCCGGAAACAGGGCUUCACAGAGCAGAGGAGCGCCAAUGAGUGAAGGGGAUAAUUUCAGAACAAAUAAAAUUUUGCCAUUUAAAAUACCAUUCAAGUAAUUGGACCAGCGGCAAAGCGUUACCUGGUAGCUUGUUUUUUUGAGGUGCUCACCAUGUGCCAGGCACCAUGCUGAAUUUUAGCUGUUUUCUCCUUUAGUGCCCACAAAAGCCCUGAAACUGUUUCUGCUUUGCAGACAAGGAGACGAUGGUGAAACUACUAAACCUGAGCUCCUGAGCACUAACCAGCUUGUGGGGAGACAGCGUCCGACCACCGUGUGGCUCACCCCCUUUGUUGUACAGAUGAGCAGACCGAAGAAACGAGGGUCAUGGACUCAUAAUAAUUGGUGGUGUUAGAAUUCGAACAGUCGUAACCUGCCAGGCAUUCCUCCUGCUACACCACGCUACCCUGUGUGGAGACUCAUUCAUUUGUUCACCUCAUAACAGUGUACUAACACUGUCACACUGCGCUCACUCUGGAACCGGCAACUGCACUAAGCAGUUUAGAGAUACUGACUCAUUUGAUCCUCACCACAACGCUUUUCUCCAAUUUCUAUUUGAGGACACAGGCACAGAGAAGUUAUGACUUGCCGGGCACCAAAUACCUAUUGGAACAGACCCUGUUCCAAAGGAGAGAGAUACAGCCGUGAACAAAACACAGCCCUGCCCCAGAGAGCUUACAUGCUAGACAUGGGAAGUUCUUGUAGAUCAUAAAGGCCAGGGGGCUGGAAAAAUAAAGCAGGGCAGGGGGACAGAGUAGAUGCCCUUGGAGGUCUGUAUGAAAAGAAAGGGCAGGUUAUACUUGCUAAUAAUUUAAAUAAACUUUGCAGCCCAACUCGCCUAAAGAUCUUCAUGACGCACACUGAAUACAGUGAGUGCAAACUCUCAUUUUUUAUUGUCCUGUGGCUACAUCAGAACCCUUGAGCCUGAGGUACCGAGAUCAGGAAGAUGGUUUUCCGAAUGCCAGGCGUUCAGAGCUGGCAGACUGUGGACACCGCAGAAGCCCCUUGUCCCUUUCAUCGUUAACCUAAUAAAUAUUAAUA